rnacentral:rRNA from 2 species
GACGAACCGUGCGAACGUUGUUCGGAAUCACUGGGCUUAAAGGGCGCGUAGGCGGCUUCCCAAGUCCGGGGUGAAAUCUUUCGGCUUAACCGGAAAAGUGCCUUGGAUACUGGGAGGCUCGAGGGGGGUAGGGGCAAGCGGAACUUCCGGUGGAGCGGUGAAAUGCGUUGAUAUCGGAAGGAACGCCGGCGGCGAAAGCGGCUUGCUGGACCCCAUCUGACGCUGAUGCGCGAAAGCCAGGGGAGCGAACGGG